rnacentral:rRNA from 2 species
UACGGAGGGUGCGAGCGUUGUCCGGAUUUAUUGGGUUUAAAGGGUGCGUAGGUGGCUUGUUAAGUCAGUGGUGAAAUACAGCCGCUCAACGGUUGAGGUGCCAUUGAUACUGAUAAGCUUGAAAGAAUUGGAGGCUGCCGGAAUGGAUGGUGUAGCGGUGAAAUGCAUAGAUAUCAUCCAGAACACCGAUUGCGAAGGCAGGUGGCUACGAUUUAUUUGACACUGAGGCACGAAAGCAUGGGGAGCAAACAGG